rnacentral:rRNA from 1 species
GUAGGUGGCAAGCGUUGUCCGGAAUUAUUGGGCGUAAAGCGCGCGCAGGCGGUUCUUUAAGUCUGAUGUGAAAGCCCACGGCUCAACCGUGGAGGGUCAUUGGAAACUGGAGAACUUGAGUACAGAAGAGGAAAGCGGAAUUCCACGUGUAGCGGUGAAAUGCGUAGAGAUGUGGAGGAACACCAGUGGCGAAGGCGGCUUUCUGGUCUGUAACUGACGCUGAGGCGCGAAAGCGUGGGGAGCAAACAGGAUUAGAUACCCUGGUAGUCCACGCCGUAAACGAUGAGUGCUAAGUGUUAGGGGGUUUCCGCCCCCCUUAGCGCUGCAGCUAACGCAUUAAGCACUCCGCCUGGGAGUACGGCCGCAAGGCUG